AGCUGUUACAGCUCUUAUAAAAUUUUCCUAACAGGAUUCUGCCCUUGGUUGGAAAACCCAA
ensembl:snRNA Gm24501 predicted gene, 24501